CUUGGACAUCAUUGGGAAUGCCUAUUAGAAGGGAUAAGAGCAUGCUAGAAACAGAUGGCUUGAGCAAGAUUGUUGGCUCUGUCUCUUCUAGCUUCCUGACCUCAUGUAAGAUAUAUAACAUCUCUAUGCCUUGGUUUCCUUAUCUGCAAAAAGGGGAUAAUAAUAGUAGUACAUAGUGGAUAGGACUGCAGCCAGGAUUAGAUAACAGAGUAUAUGUAAAUCUCGUAGAUCAAUGCCUGCUACAUGAGUAACUUUUUAAUCCACAGUACAUGAAUCAAAUUGCAUUGAAUCAAAAGUUUUGUGAAGAUUUGAGAUGAGAAUGAGAGCCAAAUAAGCCAUAUCAUAAGAAGCUGUGAUCAGAAAUAAAAUGAGGACAAUGCUUACUGUGGCUUUCAAGGCAGGAGAAAGCACACCCGAGGGGGUCGUGUCCCACACUAGGCAGAUCUAAUGGUGCCACAAAAGACAGGUGUUUUGUCAGAUUUCAGCCACACACUUUCACACCUGCAACGCAUUAACUACCGCAGCAAUGUUAAUGAAGACCAGGUGCCUGUUCUCCAGCAUAAAUGAGGAACUGGCAGGAGAUUUGCUGUUUGCUACCUGACGUCUACCCCUGAGUCUCUGAACCCCGUCCUUCUGGUUGAAGGGGAAGGUGUAGUGAUGUACAAAAAAUGAUUCCUGUUGGACAUUCAACACGAUACUCCAAUGUACUUUGAACACGUCAUGUUCUGUGAAGGUAAAAAUGCUGGAAUGUAACUCCAUUUGCUGAAAUUCCGUCUUGGAUAGAAGUCCAAGUCUCAUCAAUUCAUUUUUAAUUUUAUGAUAAAACAUCCAAACAUAGUCAACGAGGUAAAAUUAGAAAAAUCUCCUUAAUCAUUCUCC
rnacentral:lncRNA from 1 species